GUCUACGGCCACGCCCCCUUGAACGAGCCCGGCGUCUGAUCUUGGAGGCUAAGCGGGGCCGGGCCUGGUUAGUGCUUGGAUGGGAGACCACCUAGGAAGACCAGGUGCUGUAGGCG
rnacentral:rRNA from 1 species